UACGUAGGGUGCAAGCGUUGUCCGGAAUUAUUGGGCGUAAAGAGCUCGUAGGCGGUCUGUUGCGUCGGCUGUGAAAACCCGAGGCUCAACCUCGAGCCUGCAGCCGAUACGGGCAGACUAGAGUUCGGCAGGGGAGACUGGAAUUCCAGGUGUAGCGGUGAAAUGCGUAGAUAUCUGGAGGAACACCGGUGGCGAAGGCGGCAUCCUGGACCGGUAUUGACGCUGAGGCGCGAAAGCUAGGGGAGCAAACGGG
rnacentral:rRNA from 1 species